GCCGCAAGUUCUUCGUUGGUGGCAACUGGAAAUGCAACGGGACCACUGAUCAGGUGGACAAAAUUGUGAAAAUUCUGAAUGAGGGACAGAUUGCUUCUACAGAUGUUGUUGAGGUGGUUGUCAGCCCACCUUAUGUGUUCCUUCCCGUGGUCAAGAGUCAGCUGCGCCCGGAGAUCCAAGUUGCUGCUCAGAAUUGUUGGGUGAAGAAGGGCGGGGCUUUCACCGGUGAGGUCAGCGCUGAGAUGCUUGUCAACCUUAGUAUUCCCUGGGUUAUUCUUGGACACUCUGAAAGGAGGAGUUUGUUGGGUGAAUCAAAUGAGUUUGUUGGA
rnacentral:misc_RNA from 1 species